ensembl:lncRNA
CUGUUCCACCUCCUUAAUUGUUGUAGCUGUCGGUCUCUGUACCCCCUCUAACUCUACCUUGUCUUUCUUGAGAUGCUGAGAGCUGCACACAGAAUCACAGAAUCAAUCACAGAAUGGCUGCGGUUGGAAGGGACCUCUGGAGAUCAUCUACGUCUGGCAUCAUCGACGUCUUCCUGAACUGGUGGCCUGACAUAUAUAAGAUAUUUGAAGACUCACAGAUGAACUCAUGUUUGCAAAGUGCCCACCAACACCAGGAAUGAAAAUGGUUCUGUGGCCUAUAUCCUUCCCGCAAAUUCCCAGUGCCCUGAAACCACAAGGUCUACUCACUAUUAUGCAGAAUGGAAGAGUGUGCAAUGUCUACAAGAAGCCUCAGGAACAGGAUUACAUCAGCAUUGCUCACACUCAGUAAAUGAUUGACUUUUCGUCAGUGCCAGAAGGUGGGCAACACAAAAGGAGCGUUGUAGAACAUUUAUUAAAAACUGUGACAGAGAGCACGGAUGCUUUGGAAACUGUUUUCUGCUCCUGUAUGCAGGUAAUCAUUAACCACCAGGUUGUGAGAUGCUAUAGCACGAAUUACUCUCUCUCUUCUAGAUCAGUAGAAGUGUAAGUAUUUGCAUCAGCUACAGAGCAGUCCCAUUCUGGAUGAAUUCACUCUCAUGUCUAUAAAUAUCUGUAACAUUCUAGGUUUAUCUUUGUUAUGGCUGUUCAUAACAGCAUAAAAUCUGAAUCCAAGUAUAUUAGAAAACAUAGCAAUGUCACACAAGAUGUAAGUUUUUUUCUUUGUUUACCUUUCUACCAAUUGGAAGGUUAGAAAAGUAAAAGCCACAUAAUUACUUUUCAUAUUCUUUUUGAAUAGAAGUCAUCUAUGUAGAAAGGAUCACCUCCAAGCCCAUGGAAAGCAAAGUUACUAUACAAGUCAUCAGAAUGAGGUUUGCCCUACUCUGUAUCUCACCCAUUGGUUACUUCUGUGUUGCCUCCUUUGGUUCUGUGUUAUAGCUUAUACAGCCUGAUAUAGCCUGGCUUUGCCAUCACUUCCACUGUAUAAAAAACCUGUAAUUGCUGUUAUUUUAGUAGAGAUAAUUCUGAUUUCUCCUGUGACAUAUCAUCACUGUUAAGUUGUGAAUUUUCCUUAAAACAAACAGUGGUCAUGAGUUUUUUGUGUAUCAAAUUGGGGUAACUUUCAUCACCUAAGUAUGUAAAACGAUGGUACAUUGGAUUAGAACUUCAGCCAAAGUUUUAUAGUUUUAUGCCUUAUAGUUAUGACUUAAUCUUUCUACUUUAAAAUGUAGAAUAUCAUUUAAAUAUCUAGCAAGACCACUGCAGGCAUGGAAUAUUCUUAGUGAAGUAGACAUAAGGAAAAUUCAUCACAAAAACAAGUGAACGUUUCUGAAUACAUAUGAUGUUGCUGAUGGUUUCGUAGAGCCAGAUCCACAACUGCUUUUAACAAGAUUCUAACAUUGAGUGAUCUGACAAAGCAUAUACUUACAGUUAAGUAAGAGUGUGAGAGCUUUGCUGGAGCUGGAUAUUAAGAUAUUGCUGCAGUCCUACCCAGAAAAUUAUGAAAUUAGCAUUUUCCCUGUUAAUUUUUUUUCUAGAAACAAACAUCA